rnacentral:rRNA from 1 species
AUUGAACGCUAGCGGGAUGCUUUACACAUGCAAGUCGAACGAGUGGCGGACGGGUGAGUAAUAUAUCGGAAAGUGCCCAGUAGCGGGGGAUAACUACUCGAAAGAGUGGCUAAUACCGCAUCCUAUUGUAGCGGCCGAUAUCGGAUUGGCGAGUUGGUGGGGUACAGGCGCACCAAGGGAACGAUCCGUAGCGGGUUUGAGAGGAAGACGAUCCACACUGGAACUGUGACACGGCCCAGACUCCUACGGUAGGCAGCAGUGGGGAUUUUUGGACAAUGGGGGAAACCCUGAUCCAGCCAUCCCGCGUGUAUGUUAAGCCCUUCGGGUUGUAAAGUACUUUUAUCAGAGAAGCGGUAUCUGCAGAAUAAGCACCGGCUAACUCCGUGCCAGCAGCCGCGGUAAUUC